ACUAAUUUAGGAAACUUAAGAGGAGUCAGCACAGAUAUGUUUGAUAAUCCUUGAAAGGAACAACUACCUAAGGGAUGAUUUAAACAGAAAAGUCCCCUUACCUCUGAAGUGAGAGAGGAGGAACCACAGGUAGGCAAUGAAAGAGCUAGAGAGCUCUAGUCAAUGAGAGAACCAGGAAGUAGGCAGAGAUAUAGGAGAAAGAAGAGUGAGGAGAGCCCAAGAAUAAGAGCAUUUUAAAAGAGAGAAAACAGCCAGCAGCAAAAGAGCAGAGAAUUCAUGGGAAG
rnacentral:lncRNA from 1 species